UCUUGUCUCUCUCUCGUAUCUCGUCUAUCGUCUAUGACUUCUCACUUUUUUUUUUUAGCAAUUUCAAUCAUCUAUGGUUGAUUCAAUUUAUAGUGAAAUCUCUUCCAUCUAAGUAAUUAAUCGUUCGUGUUUCGGAUUGUGAAACCCUAGCCUUAAGUUUUUGGUACCUUUUUUAUGGCUGACAGUAGUUCAUACAAGUUGGAUCCCGGGCCACUUGAGCCGUCUAUAUUAACUGAACAACUCACUCAUAGGUCACGAAAUAUAUGGGAUGGAAGUGUUGAUAUGGUUCUUAAUACGAGAAAGGGUGAUGAAAGUUCUUGGAAGCUCGUAGAAAAAUAUCCUAUCCAUCCACGAGUUUUAGAAGUGAUUAAAUUAUUUGGAUUGUGUGGUGUUUUUAGAUAUAAUAGGUCUGCUAUCGACCGUAGUUUGAUCACUUCAUUAAUUAAGCGUUGGCGUCCGAAAACACAUACUUCCACUUUAGAACAGGUGAAGCAACUAUCACCUUACAAGAUGUCGAGGUGUUGUAUGGAUUAAUUGUGAAUGGUGCUCCGGUACUUGGUACUGAGACGACAAGAACUAUAGGAGAUUGGAAAAACAUUUGUCAAAGAUUAUUAGGUUUUGUUCCAUCUCUCCAGGACUUUAGAAAUAGUUUCCUCAAGGUCUCUGUGCUUAAAGCGCACAUGCCAGGUGAGCCACAAUUGUCAGACAUGGCAACCCAAGAAAUAGUCAAUCAGAAGGCUAGGUGUUACAUGUUCUAGAUGACUGCAGGUAUGAUAAUGGUAGAUACAUCUAGUUCUUAUUUGAAGCUUAUCUACCUGUCUAUGCUCGAGGACGUCAAUACAAGUGGGUCUUAUAGUUGGGGUAGUGCAACUUUAGCGUACUUGUAUCGUUUUCUUUGUAAAGCCUCACAGAGUACCCAAAAUGAGAUAGCCGGAUUUCUACCACUACUUCAGGUUUGGGCAUGGGAGAGGAUCACUGUCCUUAGGCCACAGAUAGUAGGAAAAAGAGGUACAAGA